AGCAUGUGUUUAAUUCGAAGCAACGCGAAGAACCUUACCAGGGCUUGACAUGCCGCUGACCGGUUUAGAGAUAGAUCUUUACCCUUCGGGGUACCAGCGGACACAGGUGGUGCAUGGUUGUCGUCAGCUCGUGUCGUGAGAUGUUGGGUUAAGUCCCGCAACGAGCGCAACCCUUGUCUUUAGUUGCCAUCAUUAAGUUGGGCACUCUAAAGAGACUGCCGAUGACAAAUCGGAGGAAGGUGGGGAUGACGUCAAAUCAUCAUGCCCUUUAUGUCCUGGGCUACACACGUGCUACAAUGGUCGGUACAACGAGAAGCAAGUCAGCGAUGGCAAGCAAAUCUCUAAAAGCCGAUCCCAGUUCGGACUGCAGGCUGCAACUCGCCUGCAUGAAGUCGGAGUUGCUAGUAAUCGCGGAUCAGAAUGCCGCGGUGAAUGCGUUCCCGGGUCUU
rnacentral:rRNA from 2 species